CUAGCCUGAGGUAAAGGACAGACCUCCAAGACUCACCGUCACCAAACUAGCCUGAGGUAAAGGACAGACCUCCAGGACUCACCGUCACCAAACUAGCCUGAGGUAAAGGACAGACCUCCAGGUCUCACCGUCACCAAACUAGCCUGAGGUAAAGGACAGACCUCCAGGACUCACCGUCACCAAACUAGCCUGAGGUAAAGGACAGACCUCCAAGACUCACCGUCACCAAACUAGCCUGAGGUAAAGGACAGACCUCCAGGACUCACCGUCACCAAACUAGCCUGAGGUAAAGGACAGACCUCCAGGACUCACCGUCACCAAACUAGCCUGAGGUAAAGGACAGACCUCCAGGACUCACCGUCACCAAACUAGCCUGAGGUAAAGGACAGUCCUCCAGGACUCACCGUCACCAAACUAGCCUGAGGUAAAGGACAGACCUCCAGGUCUCACCGUCACCAAACUAGCCUGAGGUAAAGGACAGACCUCCAGGUCUCACCGUCACCAAACUAGCCUGAGGUAAAGGACAGACCUCCAGGACUCACCGUCACCAAACUAGCCUGAGGUAAAGGACAGACCUCCAAGACUCACCGUCACCAAACUAGCCUGAGGUAAAGGACAGACCUCCAGGACUCACCGUCACCAAACUAGCCUGAGGUAAAGGACAGACCUCCAGGUCUCACCGUCACCAAACUAGCCUGAGGUAAAGGACAAACCUCCAGGACUCACCGUCACCAAACUAGCCUGAGGUAAAGGACAGACCUCCAAGACUCACCGUCACCAAACUAGCCUGAGGUAAAGGACAGAUCUCCAGGACUCACCGUCACCAAACUAGCCUGAGGUAAAGGACAGUCCUCCAGGACUCACCGUCCCCAAACUAGCCUGAGGUAAAGGACAGACCUCCAGGUCUCACCGUCACCAAACUAGCCUGAGGUAAAGGACAGACCUCCAGGACUCACCGUCACCAAACUAGCCUGAGGUAAAGGACAGACCUCCAGGACUCACCGUCACCAAACUAGCCUGAGGUAAAGGACAGACCUCCAGGACUCACCGUCACCAAACUAGCCUGAGGUAAAGGACAGACCUCCAGGACUCACCGUCACCAAACUAGCCUGAGGUAAAGGACAGACCUCCAGGUCUCACCGUCACCAAACUAGCCUGAGGUAAAGGACAGACCUCCAGGACUCACCGUCACCAAACUAGCCUGAGGUAAAGGACAGACCUCCAGGACU